CGGGGCCGCAGCGCGCGCCUGGUGCACGGUUGUCCGGUACGGCUGUGCGGGCCGGUGCUGAAAGGUGAGAAGGGCCCCGUAGUGAAAACGGUCAGAAGUUAACAGGGAGAAAGACUGCGAGCCUUCGCGAGGAAGAUGAGGAUUCUUCAGCCCACGGCCGCCAGGAAGACCCUCACCACUCACUGCGCACGCGCGAGCGGGGGCCACAUGCUGAUGGGCUCAGAAUGAUAUGAAUGUGAUCUGAAUUCCUGGGAACUCCUGAUCACGUAUUACUUCGGCCUCUACCUGGAGCACGCUUUCUCCUGACGCUGUGCGACUUAGGAGCAGCUCUCCCCCUUGCACCCAGCAUUGCAGCCCUGAUUAAACGUACCUGCUUUUGUAAUA